GCUGAUGAUACUUUUUACUAGAGUAUGUUGUGAUAGGGCAAAAGGCAGUGGAUUUAAGGUGAAUGACAGUAGAUUUUUAUUAAAUCUAAGGAAGAAAUUCUUCACUGUGAGGCAGGUGAGGCACUGUCACAUGUUGACCAGAUAAGUUGUAGGUGCCAGAUAAAUAAAACUGUACUUCACAGCAUUGUGUCAUCAGUGAACAUACUGAGGGUGCACUUGACUUCACUGUCAGUGUCACUGAUGAAGAUAUUAAGGAGUAUCCAUCCCAGCGCUGACCCCCAUCUGACAUGACUUAUCACUGGACUGCAUCCAGCCACUGAGCUGUUGACUGCCACUCUCCGAACUCAAUUCUGCUGCCUUUUCUUUGUCCAGUGAACAGGCCACCCAUCAGAUCUGUGUCUUUCCGAUGUGGAGAGAAGGAAUACAGUGUUAAAGGCCUUACUGAAGUCCAUAUGGGUGACAUCAGUGGUUCUUCCCUUGUUCACCAACACAGUUACACAAUAAUAGAAGGCCACUAGGUGGGUGAAGCAGGAUCUGUCUUCCAUGUGCCUUAUCAUAGUUUCAAGGAGGAUCUGCUCCAUAAUCUUUUCUGGCACAGAGGUGAGAAUGUCAGCAAUCACCUCUGGCACAGCAUAACUAUGCUUGGGGGAGGAUGGCACCUCCCAGUGCUUCUCACUGAACCUGGGCUAGCAGAGCUGGGAGGUGUGUGCCAGCAAAAGCUGAGUUUACCAACAGUGCCAGAAGCUGCAGGAAGAGAAGAUAUCUCAGCAUCACGGGAGAUGAGAAUGAGCCCACAUAGAGGACAGCUGGAAUCUCCACUAGAGGCAAUAGUGAUACAGCAUCAGAAGGUCUUGAACAUUCCAAGCAUGAAUGUAAGUGAGGUGCAAAGGCAUGGACAGGGGAGAAGGGAAGGGGAAAAAUGUUGUGUCUCCUCAAUCCUGUCUAUGAAAUGCUUGAGUACUUGCUUGCAUAACUGAUGUUGUUGACAGGAAUUUGUUUUUCUUUGACAACAGGACCAUCUUUAAGGCAGAUAUAAGAUCCACCAGAAUGGCAGAGCUGACCAGAUUAGUGAUAGUCAUCAUCAGCAUUCACUGUAGUCAGCUUCGUAUGCUGGAUUUCCUUAGGAGAGUGAGGAAGAAUAGUUGAGGGUAAAUGCUGUACUUUAGGAGAGCAGAUUUCAGUUUAUCUGGGGAGCUGGGUCUGUCAAGAUUUGUUAUUUUAAAUUUAAAUAGUUUGUUAACUUAAUAUCUCACAACACACAAGCAGUUCCAGAGAAGAAAGGAAGCAGUGUGUAAGAAUUCAUGGCAAAUGGUCUUUAGUGGGAUUUCACUGGAAUAAAAAUAAAAAAAGAAAAAGUGUUAAAAAAAAA
rnacentral:lncRNA from 1 species